CUGGCGGCGUGCCAAACACAUGCAAGUCGCACGAGAAAGUGGAGCAAUCCAUGAGUAAAGUGGCGCACGGGUGAGUAACACGUGAAUUAUCUACCUCCGAGUGGGGAAUAACUUCGGGAAACCGAGGCUAAUACCGCAUAACACUUACGAGUCAAAGCAGCAAUGCGCUUGGAGAGGAGUUCGCGGCAGAUUAGCUAGUUGGUGGGGUAAUGGCCCACCAAGGCGAUGAUCUGUAUCCGGCCUGAGAGGGCGCACGGACACACUGGAACUGAAACACGGUCCAGACUCCUACGGGAGGCAGCAGUGGGGAAUUUUGCGCAAUGGGGGAAACCCUGACGCAGCAACGCCGCGUGGAGGAUGAAAUCCCUUGGGAUGUAAACCACUUUCGAUCGGGACGAUUAUGACGGUACCGGAAGAAGAAGCCCCGGCUAACUUCGUGCCAGCAGCCGCGGUAAUACGAGGGGGGCGAGCGUUGUUCGGAAUUAUUGGGCGUAAAGGGUGCGUAGGCGGUUUGCUAAGUCAUCUGUGAAAUCUCUGGGCUCAACCCAGAGUCUGCAGGCGAAACUGUCGGGCUUGAGUAUGGGAGAGGUGAGUGGAAUUUCCGGUGUAGCGGUGAAAUGCGUAGAUAUCGGAAGGAACACCUGUGGCGAAAGCGGCUCAUUGGACCAUUACUCACGCUGAUGCACGAAAGCUAGGGGAGCAAACAGGAUUAGAUAUCCCUGGUAGUCCUUAGCCCUAAACGAUGAUUGCUUGAUGUGGAGGGUACCCAAUCCUU
rnacentral:rRNA from 1 species